rnacentral:rRNA from 1 species
GACGAACGCUGGCGGCGUGCCUAAUACAUGCAAGUUGAGCGCUGAAGGUUGGUACUUGUACCAACUGGAUGAGCAGCGAACGGGUGAGUAACGCGUGGGGAAUCUGCCUUUGAGCGGGGGACAACAUUUGGAAACGAAUGCUAAUACCGCAUAAAAACUUUAAACACAAGUUUUAAGUUUGAAAGAUGCAAUUGCAUCACUCAAAGAUGAUCCCGCGUUGUAUUAGCUAGUUGGUGAGGUAAAGGCUCACCAAGGCGAUGAUACAUAGCCGACCUGAGAGGGUGAUCGGCCACAUUGGUACUGAGACACGGCCCAAACUCCUACGGGAGGCAGCAGUAGGGAAUCUUCGGCAAUGGACGAAAGUCUGACCGAGCAACGCCGCGUGAGUGAAGAAGGUUUUCGGAUCGUAAAACUCUGUUGGUAGAGAAGAACGUUGGUGAGAGUGGAAAGCUCAUCAAGUGACGGUAACUACCCAGAAAGGGACGGCUAACUACGU